GAUGAACGCUGGCGGCGUGCCUAAUACAUGCAAGUCGAGCGAACAGACGAGGAGCUUGCUCCUCUGACGUUAGCGGCGGACGGGUGAGUAACACGUGGAUAACCUACCUAUAAGACUGGGAUAACUUCGGGAAACCGGAGCUAAUACCGGAUAAUAUAUUGAACCGCAUGGUUCAAUAGUGAAAGACGGUUUUGCUGUCACUUAUAGAUGGAUCCGCGCCGCAUUAGCUAGUUGGUAAGGUAACGGCUUACCAAGGCAACGAUGCGUAGCCGACUUGAGAGGGUGAUCGGCCACACUGGAACUGAGACACGGUCCAGACUCCUACGGGAGGCAGCAGUAGGGAAUCUUCCGCAAUGGGCGAAAGCCUGACGGAGCAACGCCGCGUGAGUGAUGAAGGUCUUCGGAUCGUAAAACUCUGUUAUUAGGGAAGAACAAAUGUGUAAGUAACUAUGCACGUCUUGACGGUACCUAAUCAGGAAGCCACGGCUAACUACGUG
rnacentral:rRNA from 1 species